rnacentral:rRNA from 1 species
AUUGAACGCUGGCGGCAGGCCUAACACAUGCAAGUCGAGCGGAGCGGCGGACGGGUGAGUAAUGCCUAGGAAUCUGCCUGGUAGUGGGGGAUAACGUCCGGAAACGGGCGCUAAUAUCGCAUACUAACAGAUUAGCCUAGGUGGGAUUAGCUAGUGGGUGGGGUAAAGGCCUACCAAGGCGACGAUCCGGAACUGGUCUGAGAGGAUGAUCAGUCAAACUGGAACUGAGACACGGUCCAGCCUCCUCCGGGAGGCAGAAUUGGGGAAUAUUGGACAAUGGGCGAAAGCCUGACCCAGCAAUGCCGGGUGGGUGAAGAAGGUCUUCGGAUUUUAAAGCACGUUAAGUUGGGAGGCGUUACCAACAGAAUAAGCACCGGCUAACUUCGUGCCAGCAGCCGCGGUAAUUC